GGCUUUGUGGCUCAGAGGUAGAGUGGAUGCCUAGCAUGCAUGAGGCACUGGGUUCGAUCCUCAGCACCA
rnacentral:tRNA from 1 species